rnacentral:rRNA from 1 species
CAGGCCUACACAUGCAAGUCGAGCGNGUAACAGGGGAGCUUGCUCCUGCUGACGAGGGCGGACGGGUGAGUAACGCGUAGGAAUCUGCCCAAUAGUGGGGGAUAGCCGGGGAAACCCGGAUUAAUACCGCAUACGCCUUACGGGGGAAAGGCCGGAUCUUCGGACCGGUCGCCAGUGGAUGAGCCUGCGUUGGAUUUGUCUUUGGUAGGGUAAAGGCCUACCAAGGCGACGAUCCAUAGCUGGUCUGAGAGGUGAUCAGCCACACUGGAACUGAGACACGGUCCAGACUCCUACGGGAGGCGCAGUGGGGAAUAUUGGACAAUGGGCGGAAGCCUGAUCCAGCCACGCCGGUGAUUGAUGAAGGCCCUGCGGGUCGUAAAGCUCUGUGGUGGAGGGACGA